GGAGGUGUGGCUCUAGUGGUAGGGCCCCUGCUUCAUAAGCCUGAAGCUCUGAGUUCAAUCCCUAGUACUUCCA
rnacentral:tRNA from 1 species